UGGAGAUUUGGAGGUGUUAGUUUAAGAUUGCUUUUAUAUUGUGUCUAUCCGUGUUUCCUAGGAGGGAGACAGAGUGUGUAGUUGUGUGCCCAUAAAUGUGAUUUCUGUAUUGGCAUAUCUGCUGGGUACCCAUUAUGUGUUUCUACAAAGAUAUUGCUUUGUGAGAUGACGUGUAAUAUUACAUGGGAUGCUGAGUAUGAGUUAUAUGGUUUGAAAUGAAUUGGUGAUUAUGAGCUUAGUACUUCAGUAAGAUGUGCUAAAAUUUGGAACAAGGUGGAAGCUGAAAUGUUGGGAUUAUGGAAGAAUAGGUAGUCUAUAUUCACUGCUUUGGCAUAUAAGCAAGAUGCAAAGGAAGAGAUUGGUAAUAUGAUUUUUGUAAAGAAAUUUUACAAGUGUUGGAAGGAUGAGGCAGGUUUGAUGUCUGGAGAUGAUAUAGAUAUCUUUAAAAUACAGUCAUGCCUUGGUAAUAUGUUGCCACAGUAUUCUUUGCUUGUGAAACAAUUGAUUUCAGACUGGGCCAAUUUGGAUAGCUCAGAGUUUCUUACCAAGGUUAUAGAAAAGGAAAAUGCAGGAUGUUUUGAAUUAAGAAAAGAUUUAGGAAAGUAAGGUUGCUUAUUAUGCUCAGGGAUUGCAACAUAUUAUGUCCAGCUACACAGGCUGAGAGCGAGGAUGGGAUGGAGCACAUAAAGCCCGUGGAAGGGGUGGUCAAAGAGGGGCAAGGGGAUGGAGACAGGGAAAUCAGGGUUAUAGGGGUAACCAAGGAGGAAUAGACAGGAACACUUGUUUCAAC
rnacentral:lncRNA from 1 species